UACGUAGGGGGCAAGCGUUGUCCGGAAUUACUGGGCGUAAAGCGCCUGUAGGCGGGAACGUGCGUCGGACGUGAAAGGCUGGGGCUUAACCCCCGAGCGGCGUUCGAAACGGCGUUUCUUGAGGGUCGAAGAGGAGCGUGGAAUUGCAGGUGUAGCGGUGAAAUGCGUAGAUAUCUGCAGGAACACCCGUGGCGAAGGCGGCUGACUGGAUCGCAACUGACACUGAGGAACGAAAGCUAGGGGAGCAAACAGG
rnacentral:rRNA from 1 species